UACAGAGGGUGCGAGCGUUGUUCGGAAUUAUUGGGCGUAAAGGGCGCGUAGGCGGUGCGGUAAGUCACCUGUGAAAUCUCCUGGCUCAACUGGGAGUCUGCAGGCGAAACUGCCGUGCUGGAGUGUGGGAGAGGUGAGUGGAAUUCCCGGUGUAGCGGUGAAAUGCGUAGAUAUCGGGAAGGAACACCUGUGGCGAAAAGCGGCUCACUGGACCACAACUGACGCUGAGGCGCGAAAGCUAGGGGAGCAAACAGGG
rnacentral:rRNA from 1 species